rnacentral:rRNA from 1 species
GUCUACAGCCAUGCCACCUUGAACAAGCCUAAUUCUGUCUGAUCUCGGAAGCUAAGCAGAGUCAGGCCUGGUUAGUACUUGGAUGGGAGACCACCUAAGAAGACCAGGUGCUGUAGGCA